CAUAGGCAAAUAAGUAAGUCAAGGUUACUACAGUAUACCUACUGUGUAACUGCUCACAUCCCACAGGAGAAAAGCGGCUGGUUUGUUUGCUUCUUGCUCUAAUGAGUGUUGUUUGCUCCAAAACUGCUGGGUUCCUGGGUUCCCUAGCUGAGAAGUAAAGCCACUGCAUAGGCAGCAUUCAUCCAGGCCCAUUGUAUCACUCUGGUGGAAUUGAAGCCUCACCCAGCUGUUGUCAUCCAGGAGCGAGAGCCUAGAAUUGCUAGUUCUUCAAAUCUCCCAAGAGCCACCAGAAAUCUGGACUUUCUUGUGAAAUCUCCGUAUUUCUAAAUUUCAGCAACUAGUUCAAAUGUUUUAAAAACACAUCUGGAAGCCAGAUUAUGGCAGUAGGCCAUCAGUUAGGGACCUCUGAUAUUAGAUUAUGAUCCAGAAUACAGACUAAAACAUAUC
rnacentral:lncRNA from 1 species